UGAGCGAUAUCCCCACUUCAGAAUGUAUGGACACAGAUCUCCAAACAGCUGUCCCAAAUGCUGGCAAUUCUCCAAUCAGGGGAUCUGGAAGGAGAAAGAAUUGAUUCAUGGUCUUACCUGGCCUUUUCCUGAAGCAGCACUAAGCAAUACUCAAGUCUUGACAUUUGCUUACAAUCCUGGUGCUUGGCAGGGAGGGAAUCUAUGAUAAUGCUGGGAUUAAAAUUCCCUUGCAGGUGAACAGCUAUAAUUUAAACAGCACGGUAUCAACAACAUAUGUUAAUUAUGUAAUUUGCUUCUGGGAACCACAGAGCUUCCCUUGAUGUUGUUAAUCUCUUCUUAUCAGCUCAACUCCUUUCUGUCUUUCUUAGGAUAUGACGGCAAACUCCAAAAGGACAAGAGCAUGUCCCACGAGCCUAACAAGACACAGCAAUGCAGGACAGGUGCAAGGAAACAGAAGUGUUCUGAGAGGAAGAACUAAUCUGAGAACUUGAAUAAGUUUCCUAUGCAUGCCAGCUCACCUCUAAACCUUGCUAAGUCUCCUCCUUAAUGGUGAAAUUGCAUGGACUAUGACUAGAAAUAUUUGCAAUACAUAACGUGGUUCACUAAAGGGAGAUGGUAGUGGACUGCGGCUCCCAGCAUUCUUGACGAGGGGAUAUGCUGGCUAGGCCUGAGGGCAGUUGCCGUGCAGGGCCUCCGUUUGCCUUCCUCUGAUACCAACAGUGACCUCACAAUAAGUCAGGUUUUCUGAAAACUACAGUAGGUGGAGAAAUUUUCACAGGGCAGUAUAAUGUUGGAUGCACUUCAUCAGUGUGAUGUCUUGGGGCCCCCUAUCCUCGAUAUAUCAUUGUUCCGGCAUGGCUGACAGUGGAAUCUAAUCACUCCAAGAUUAAAAUAUGGAAAUAUCUAAGCAGGCAUGAGUACCUCUCUAAAGAAAGAAUGUCAUUUUCCUUACUCGGAGGAUAGGAUAGAUAUUAUUGAUUAAAAGAUUGGCAAUUGGCCUGACUUUAACAGAACUGAAGAGCAAGGAACCUGGCUUUGUUUCUGUGUUUCAAAACAUUUUACCAUCCUGCAUUUUGCUCGAUGAGGUGUUAGCACCCUUUAAUUUGCACUUGGGAACAGCCCUGAAGUUUUAGAAGGAACACGGGCCAUGGACAACAGAGGCAUCGGCUUUGACCAAGGACAGAAUAGGAGUACAUUCUUUUCCAGAGAAGUGAAAACUGUGUACUGGCAUCGAAGACUAAGAACGACAUAAUCUGCAGGCAGAUAAAGAGUUUGCAAAGAAUAUUAAGAGAGAAUUUGAAUGAAUGGGCAGUUUUCUGGCUUUGGGCUACAAGCCAAGGAUGUGGGAAAGUGAUAUUGUUGUAUUAGCUAAGGGCAGUGAGACUUACACUUUUUUGGAGACUGACAUUGACUUCCCAAAUGUAAUAGGGGAAAUAACAACCAAAUGUGGUUUUAGUGGUAUGUUUGUUUUCCAUGCUGAGUUUUUAAUUCAGAUACAAUAGACAACAGCUAUACUGCAAGGGUUUUCCCACCCAAUUAGGAAAUAUUUAUAGAGAAGAUCAUAUAGGAAUGCUGUUAAUUCAUGCCGAUAAAUCAAACUAUGAAAAAUCUUGCAGUUCAAAGUGGGCAUUCCUAAGGGAUGACAGGAAGACAUCAUACCCAGAAGAUAGGGGCUCCUUUCUCAUUUCCUUCUAGGUUCUGAGGGCUAAUGAUUUAUCUGGAAUUACUGUAUUCAUUACAUCAACACUGGAGGCAUUGAAGAGAAACUUAGACAAUCACCUGGCAGAUAUCCUUUGAUCUGUAUUCCUGCAUGGAGCAGGGUAUUGGACUUGGUCUAGGCUUCUCCCCAUUUCAAUAUUCUAUGAUUCUAUGAUCAUCACAGCUUUAUUGGCUGAGGGAAAAGAUUUGGGAGCAUAUGGCUGCUUAAUUGCCGAGAAGCAGAGGAGCACAACACAGAAUAAAUAGUCACCGUUAACAUAUCUUCAACAGAUCAGGUGUUUUUUAUAAGGAGGGUGAGAGUUACAUUUUGCAAAUAAUGUGAUGAAUGGGCAUAA